UACGGGGGGGGCAAGCGUUGUUCGGAAUUACUGGGCGUAAAGGGCUCGUAGGUGGCCAACUAAGUCAGACGUGAAAUCCCUCGGCUUAACCGGGGAACUGCGUCUGAUACUGGAUGGCUAGAGUUUGGGAGAGGGAUGCGGAAUUCCAGGUGUAGCGGUGAAAUGCGUAGAUAUCUGGAGGAACACCGGUGGCGAAGGCGGCAUCCUGGACCGGUAUUGACGCUGAGGCGCGAAAGCUAGGGGAGCAGACGGG
rnacentral:rRNA from 1 species